CUGGUCUGUAAAAGGAAUGAAUCAUUCACAUGUCCAGGUCCUGAGUUCUUAUCCCGCAUCCAGGAAGAAUGAAGUUAUGCGGACACCUGGAGAGUGAGCAAGGCUGGGAAGAGCUUUAUUGGGCAACCAGACAGCUCUCAGAAGAGAGGUGACCUGAACAGCUAACCCCUAUCUGCAGGCAGAAUUUUAUCUCAUCUAAACAGCUUACCUGGUGUGAUGACCAAGAGCUUUCUCUCUGAAAGGCAUUUAGAUGGUCUGGAAACAAUUUUGACCGUCAAGAAUUGGGUGAAGAGGCCAGGCGCCGUGGCUCGCACCUGUAAUCCCAGCACUUUAGGAG